rnacentral:rRNA from 1 species
UAGGGAAUAUUGCGCAAUGGACGCAAGUCUGACGCAGCGACGCCGCGUGGGUGACGAAGGCCUUCGGGUCGUAAAGCCCUGUCGGAUGGGACGAAAAACGGAAUGGCUAACAUCCAUACCGCUUGACGGUACCAUUAAAGGAAGCACCGGCUAACUACGUGCCAGCAGCCGCGGUAAUACGUAGGGUGCAAGCGUUGUUCGGAAUCAUUGGGCGUAAAGCGCGUGUAGGUGGCUAGUUAAGUCGAUUGUGAAAGCCCUGGGCUCAACUCAGGAAGUGCAGUCGAAACUGGCUGGCUAGAAGAUAGUAGAGGAAGGUGGAAUUCCAAGUGUAGAGGUGAAAUUCGUAGAUAUUUGGAGGAAUACCGGCGGCGAAGGCGGCCUUCUGGGCUAUUCUUGACACUGAGACGCGAAAGCGUGGGGAGCAAACAGG